rnacentral:rRNA from 1 species
UACGUAGGGUGCAAGCGUUGUCCGGAAUUAUUGGGCGUAAAGAGCUCGUAGGCGGUUUGUCGCGUCUGCUGUGAAAACUCGGGGCUUAACUCCGGGCCUGCAGUGGGUACGGGCAGACUAGAGUGCGGUAGGGGAGAGUGGAAUUCCUGGUGUAGCGGUGAAAUGCGCAGAUAUCAGGAAGAACACCUAUGGCGAAGGCAGCUCUCUGGGACGGUACUGACGCUGAGACGCGAAAGCGUGGGGAGCGAACAGG